rnacentral:rRNA from 1 species
AUACAGAAGGUGCAAGCGUUAUUCGGAAUUACUGGGCGUAAAGCGCGCGUAGGCGGAUGAUUAAGUCAGUUGUGAAAGCCCUGGGCUCAACCUAGGAACUGCAUCUGAUACUGGUCAUCUAGAGUUUAAGAGAGGGAAGUGGAAUUCCAGGUGUAGCAGUGAAAUGCGUAGAUAUCUGGAGGAACAUCAGUGGCGAAGGCGACUUCCUGGCUUAGAACUGACGCUGAGGUGCGAAAGCGUGGGUAGCGAACGGGAUUAGAAACCCUAGUAGUCC